rnacentral:lncRNA from 1 species
GACAGAAGCAACAAACAAUUCUUAAAGCUAAAACCGUCAGUAGUGUAGUUACCAGUAUCUUAGCCGUUCAAACUAGAGUCACAUCAUGAUGGAGAGGAAGAACUAACAACUUAUACUCUGAACCAUGACGUUUACGGUGGUUGGCUGACGUUUGACAUCAUUUCCAUGAACCAGCACUCAGAAACACGAGAGCAUCAAUGAUGUUGCAUGUCCAAAGUCUUACAGAUUUGACUUUUUUUUUUGUCCUGACCUACAAAUCAACAUGUACUGUAAGUGUAAUAUUUACUUGCAUAAUGAUUUGUUUCUCACAUGGUUAAGGUGUUUUUUCC